rnacentral:rRNA from 1 species
CGCAUCUGUGCAUGCAGCAUAUCAAUAAGCGGAGGAAAAGAAACUAACAAGGAUUCCCUUAGUAACGGCGAGUGAAGCGGGAAGAGCUCAAAUUUGAAAUCUUCAAGGUUUUACCUUGACGAAUUGUAGUUUAAAGAAGUGUUUUCUGCUGAAGUUUUGGUAAAAGUUCUUUGGAAUAGGACAUCAUAGAGGGUGAGAAUCCCGUAUUUGACCAUUAUUUUCAGCUUUGUGAUACACUUUCAAAGAGUCGGAUUGUUUGGGAAUGCAGUCCAAAAUGGGUGGUAAAUUUCAUCUAAAGCUAAAUAUUGGCGAGAGACCGAUAGCGAACAAGUACCGUGAGGGAAAGAUGAAAAGAACUUUGAAAAGAGAGUUAAACAGUACGUGAAAUUGUCAAAAGGGAAGCGUUUGACACCAGUGUUGUUUUCUCGAAAAUCAAUUAAAAAUGGCUCGAUUUUGUAUUGCUGAGACCUUAAAAGCUCACUAGUACAUUUUUCGUGUCUUUUUUAAUGCACUUUUCGUUUAACAAGUCAACAUCAGUUUCUUUUGUUGUAAAAGGGUCAUUGGAAGGUGGCUUUCUUUUCGGAGAAAGUGUUUAUAGCCUUUGGCCUCUGCAAUCGGAAGAGACUGAGGUCUGCAGCGUAGACUCUUCGGGGUUAGAUACAUUUGUGCUAGGUUAUAGCUUUUUAUAGACAACUUGUUGACUAUAAUUAGUCUUGUAGCUUACUCGCUUAUGCUAUUUUACCUACGCUUAGGAUGUUGAUAGUCACAGCGUGUAC